UUUGUUGGCUCAGGAUUUGCCAACCCUUGUCUUUUCCAUGGAGUAAAUUUACCAACUUUCAUAUAUAAAUCAAACAAACCUGCUUCAAAUAUUAUUUCCACUUGGACUCUUCAACGCAAGUACCAAACAGGUCCCAUUCCUCCUGUCCCCUCUCCUCGCCUCCCCUCCAAGUUUCACAACCAAACAAGUACGAAGGGGUUGCCCUUGUGCAGCUCAAUCUAUGGCGAGACGAGCCGAUGCGAGUGCUUCUGUAUUAGAAAUUGACCCUCCUUGCUUGUUAUGUGUUUUGUAAUUUGGAGAUGAUGCCGCCGGUUUUUCUUACUCAAACUCGUGUACUGCAAUUUUAGAACAAUGAAUGCACCUUGCUGGAUUACUUACGGGUAGGGGUGUUUAAAAAAACCGAUUAACCGAAAGAACCGAGAGAACCGAUAAAAAAUUAACUGAGAAAACCGAACCGAGAUAGAAAACCGAUUAAACCGAUUUUUAAAACCAUAAAAUCUUUCUGGUUCGAUUUCGGUUUGACCACUUAAACCGGUGAACCGAACCGGUAGUAUAAAUAACACAGCAAACCACUAAGCUUAACCCUAAUUGACAUUAUCUGAAGCCGCCGCCCACACCAAAGAGCAAAGAUGAUUUAUCGCCUUCUCCCUUCUGCAUCUGUCUUGCCCCAUUGCCCCUGCAUCUGUCUUGACUCUUACCCUUCAAUUUUCAUUCUCUUUGCGUCUUACCCCCUGCAUCUGUCUCUUCUCUAACCGAACAAUAAGUCAACAACCCACAUCUCCACAUCCAUUUAGUCUACUUGCAGCCGAACAAAAACCCGAACAAAACCCCUUGGCUUCUCUCUUCACUUGCAGCAGAAAGAGAGGGCUCCUCUAUUAGAGAAAAGGCGGCAAGCUAGGGUUUCUGCAUCUUUCUUCAGCAUUAUCCUUGCUGGAUCUUUUGGCUUUUGCUGUUGCUGGAAGUUUUGGAUGCUACUGUAGUGCUGGUGUCAGAUUUUUUUUUCUUUAAAUUAUGACGGAUGUUUAUGAUAAUUUAUUACUGG